GCUGCUGUGUAUGGCAGUCCCACACAGGGCAGGAGGCCACCUCAGCAGCUGCAGGCCUCUGAAGCACUCUGCAGGCUCCUGUAUCUGCAUAUCUACCUGGCACCCUCAACAGGGACCUUGAAUGAGUAAUGUAAGACCUCAAAACCUUGAUUAUUUUCUCUGAACAUGGGGAAGACAAACAAUCUAAUAAGACUCAUUUCAGAACUGACACUUCAGGGAAACCAGUUAUGUUCCAACAGGAAAGUCAACUAAGGUUUCCUGAAAACACAGAGAAAAUGGGCAAAAUAACAUGUUUCUCAAUGGAAGGAAUUGUGACUGAUUCAUGAUUGCAUCUGGAAUGCUUAACACGAUGUAACAGAUGUUCAAGAAGUGAUAUUUGAAAUUCUGAGGGAGAAAAUGUAGAAGGAACUUUAAAAAAUUGAUACUGAAGUCAAAUUUGAAACAUUCUCCUAAAAUAUAAUGGAGGAGAAAAAGAAUCAGUUCUGACAAUUGGAAUGGAUGUCCUUACUGAUGACCCUAAGUCUCAACAUGCACUAUAAUGAUGAAACAAUGAGAUAAGGGUUACCUGAGGCUUAUCCAUAUAAACAGUAAACAGGGGAGCCUGUCUCACCUCUGGACUUCAGAGAAGUUCUUCUUCUGCACCGGGUUCAUCAUAGUCAAAGGCAGCUGACAGUCAAGCCUGCCCUACUGAAAGGGAACUGCUAAGCAAAUAAAAUCUUUCCUGUUUCCUGCUAAAGAGUCACAGGCCUGGUGCAGUAAAUAAUGCAAAGUGUAAAUAACAAGUUUGCUUCCUUAAUAAGCAUAUCUAAAGGAGGUGACAUUCUAACACAGUGGGACCAUGGGCCAGGCUGAUUGAUCUCCCAGGCCAUCCUGGGAUAUCUGAUGUCAAGAACUUUUGUGCUCACUGACCGAUGUUAUCAAUAUAAGAUGGUCAUGUAUAAAAGAAACCCUGUCUCUAGACCAGUACUCAGACCUUACAGGGAUACCCAGGUCUGAGAUCUCAUGUAUAAUAAAGCUUCUC